rnacentral:rRNA from 1 species
CGGACGGGUGAGUAAUGUCUGGGAAACUGCCUGAUGGAGGGGGAUAACUAUUGGAAACGGUAGCUAAUACCGCAUAACGUCGCAAGACCAAAGAGGGGGACCUUCGGGCCUCUUGCCAUCGGAUGUGCCCAGAUGGGAUUAGCUAGUAGGUGGGGUAAAGGCUCACCUAGGCGACGAUCCCUAGCUGGUCUGAGAGGAUGACCAGCCACACUGGAACUGAGACACGGUCCAG